UACGUAGGUGACCAGCGUUGUCCGGAUUUACUGGGCGUAAAGAGCGCGCAGGCGGUCGUUCAAGUCGAGUGUGAAAGCCCCCGGCUCAACUGGGGAGGGUCAUUCGAUACUGAUCGACUUGAAGGCAGGAGAGGGAAGCGGAAUUCCCGGUGUAGUGGUGAAAUGCGUAGAUAUCAGGAGGAACAUCGGUGGCGAAGGCGGCUAUCUGGCUCGAUACUGACACUGAGAUGCGAAAGCGUGGGGAUCAAACAGG
rnacentral:rRNA from 1 species